AGAGUUUGAUCCUGGCUCAGGAUGAACGCUGGCGGCGUGCUUAACACAUGCAAGUCGAACGAUGAUCCCAGCUUGCUGGGGGAUUAGUGGCGAACGGGUGAGUAACACGUGAGUAACCUGCCCUUAACUCUGGGAUAAGCCUGGGAAACUGGGUCUAAUACCGGAUAUGACUCCUCAUCGCAUGGUGGGGGGUGGAAAGCUUUAUUGUGGUUUUGGAUGGACUCGCGGCCUAUCAGCUUGUUGGUGAGGUAAUGGCUCACCAAGGCGACGACGGGUAGCCGGCCUGAGAGGGUGACCGGCCACACUGGGACUGAGACACGGCCCAGACUCCUACGGGAGGCAGCAGUGGGGAAUAUUGCACAAUGGGCGCAAGCCUGAUGCAGCGACGCCGCGUGAGGGAUGACGGCCUUCGGGUUGUAAACCUCUUUCAGUAGGGAAGAAGCGAAAGUGACGGUACCUGCAGAAGAAGCGCCGGCUAACUACGUGCCAGCAGCCGCGGUAAUACGUAGGGCGCAAGCGUUAUCCGGAAUUAUUGGGCGUAAAGAGCUCGUAGGCGGUUUGUCGCGUCUGCCGUGAAAGUCCGGGGCUCAACUCCGGAUCUGCGGUGGGUACGGGCAGGCUAGAGUGAUGUAGGGGAGACUGGAAUUCCUGGUGUAGCGGUGAAAUGCGCAGAUAUCAGGAGGAACACCGAUGGCGAAGGCAGGUCUCUGGGCAUUAACUGACGCUGAGGAGCGAAAGCAUGGGGAGCGAACAGGAUUAGAUACCCCGGUAGUCC
rnacentral:rRNA from 1 species